rnacentral:lncRNA from 1 species
GUGCAGCCAGCACGUUGCCCUUGGCCUCCUCAUAGAGCAGCCGCAGGACCUCCUCGUCGGGGAUCUGGAGCUCCCGCCCCUUUGGGAAGAACACGUUCCUUCGGAACUGCAGGAAAGGCUCCUCCAGCAGAGGGGAGACCAGCCAGAGCGCGAAGACAUCCAGGGCGAUGUCCGGAAGCUUCAGGACCUCGCGGGCGAGGGCAGGUUCUCCACAGCCAGGGGCACCACCGUGUCAUCUGCCAGGUAUACCAGCACGUCAGCCGCUCGGGCUCCCACGGAGGACACGCUGCUUCGGUGGGACCGCUCAGUGGGGCCGGGCUGCCCGACACUGCCUUCCGUCCCGUCCAUCUCACAGGGUCGCAGAGCCCGCCACCUGAGAGGCAAGGCUCCUGCCCGGAAUCCUGCCCCUCC